CCUACGGGUGGCAGCAGUGGGGAAUAUUGCACAAUGGUGGAAACCCUGAUGCAGCGACGCCGCGUGAGUGAUGUCGUACUUCGUUAUUUCAAGCUCUAUUUGCAGGGAAGAAAAUGACGGUACCUGAGUAAGAUUCUCCGGCUCACUACGUGCAAGCCGCCGCGGUACUACGUCGGGGGCACGCGUUAUCCGGAUUUACUAGGUGUAAAGGGAGCGUAGACGGCAGGGAAAGUCUGGAGUGAAAGGCGGGGGCUCAACCCCCGGACUGCGGUGGAAACUGGACGGCUGGAGUGCAGGAGAGGUAAGUGGAAUUCCUAGUGUAGCGGUGAAAUGCGUAGAUAUUAGGAGGAACACCAGUGGCGAAGGCGGCUUACUGGACUGUAACUGACGUUGAGGCUCGAAAGCGUGGGGAGCGAACAGGAUUAGAUACCCCAGUAGUC
rnacentral:rRNA from 1 species